rnacentral:rRNA from 1 species
GACGAACGCUGGCGGCGUGCUUAACACAUGCAAGUCGAACGGAAAGGCCCUGCUUUUGUGGGGUGCUCGAGUGGCGAACGGGUGAGUAACACGUGAGUAACCUGCCCUUGACUUUGGGAUAACUUCAGGAAACUGGGGCUAAUACCGGAUAGGAGCUCCUGCUGCAUGGUGGGGGUUGGAAAGUUUCGGCGGUUGGGGAUGGACUCGCGGCUUAUCAGCUUGUUGGUGGGGUAGUGGCUUACCAAGGCUUUGACGGGUAGCCGGCAUGAGAGGGUGACCGGCGACCAUGGGACUGAGAUACGGACCAGACUCCUACGGGAGGCAGCAGUGGGGAAUAUUGCACAAUGGGCGGAAGCCUGAUGCCACAACGCCGCGGGCGGGAUGACGGCCUUUGGGUUGUAAACAGCUUUCGCCUGUGACGAAGCGUGAGUGACGGUAAUGGGUAAAGAAGCACCGGCUAACUACGUG